AUUGAACGCUGGCGGCAUGCUUUACACAUGCAAGUCGAACGGCAACGAGGAGAAGCUUGCUUCUCUGUCGGCGAGUGGCGAACGGGUGAGUAUAGCAUCGGAACGUGCCAAGUAGUGGGGGAUAACCAAACGAAAGUUUGGCUAAUACCGCGUAAGCUCCAAGGAGGAAAGUGGGGGACCUAAAUAAGGCCUUACGCUAUUUGAUCGGCCGAUGUCGGAUUAGCUAGUUGGUGGGGUAAUGGCUCACCAAGGCAAUGAUCCGUAGCGGGUCUGAGAGGACGAUCCGCCACACUGGGACUGAGACACGGCCCAGACUCCUACGGGAGGCAGCAGUGGGGAAUUUUGGACAAUGGGGGAAACCCUGAUCCAGCCAUGCCGCGUGUAUGAAGAAGGCCUUAGGGUUGUAAAGUACUUUUGUUAGGGAAGAAAAGCUAGUUUUUAAUAAAAAUUAGUGAUGACGGUACCUAAAGAAUAAGCACCGGCUAACUACGUG
rnacentral:rRNA from 1 species